GUCAGUAACGUGUGCAAUAAUUAUAACAGAAAGAAUAACGAACUUGAAAUAAUAUUAUCACAGCAAUGAAGGGACGAACCUUCACGGUUCUAUGAUAAACAAUACGAUCUGUUGCAGUGCUUUCCACAUCAGAAGAACGCCUCAAAGUGUUUCACAGGGUGGAUAGAAGAAAGCACAAAGACAAGGAGAAUUACAUCAAUACUCUCGUCUGGAAAUGGGUAUCGAGAUUCAGGGGCGCAUUGCAGGUCUGCACCCAGAGUUCUGCAUGAAUCAGCCAUCUUAGCUGCGGUUGGAAGGUGCUGAUGAGAAGCUCGGAAGGGGAAAAUUGAGAGAGUCACCAGGGACUGCCUUGUUACACCUCAUAGUGGCUGGCCUUUGAGCGACAUAAGAGAAAAGCUGGAAGUAGGAUUUGUGCCUGUUCUACCAGCUAGGAUCCUUUCUUUCCCAGGUUGAAAAAUAACCUUAAAAAGUAUAAAUAAAACAUUCUGAAAUACCAGAUUGGGAGCAUGUUUUAUUCAUGGAUCAAUUGUUCAGGUACAGAGAAGCGAUCUGAUUGAGGAGAAACAGUAGCUCAGGGG